GAGGAGGAGGAGGGAGAGGAGGAGACACACAGACUGCGUUAGGAUCUGUCUGACCUUGGAGGUCCUCCUAGACCCUUUGGUUCUGCGGUUGUCCCCCUUGUUGGAGUUUCUUCUGAAGAUCAGCCAGGAGCUGAGAGGAGACACUCUGGACAGAUCGGAGGACAGCGGCUCCUGAAGGACACAAACACAACAGGAUCUCAGUGCUGGCGGCCUCCUCCUCCUCCAGGAUCUCCUGACUCUCCUCGCUCUCCAGUUCUUCAACGCUCGCUGCCUCCAUCAUCAUCAUCAUCGUCAUCAUCAGUCCCAGGAGGAGAGGGAGCAGCAGC